rnacentral:rRNA from 1 species
GCAGCCACUCAUUCAAAGAGUGCGUAAUAGCUCACUGGUCGAGUGAUCCUGCGCCGAAGAUUUCCGGGGCUAAAACUUACUACCGAAGCUACGGCAUCAGUAAUGAUGGGUAGGGGAGCUUCCCAUACGGGUUGAAGCAUGACCGUAAGGACAUGUGGACAGUAUGGGAGUGAGAAUGUUGGCAUGAGUAGCGAGAUGUGGGUGAGAAUCCCACAGGCCGUAAACCCAAGGUUUCCAGGGGAAGGUUCGUCCGCCCUGGGUUAGUCGGGACCUAAGCUGAGGCCGAAAGGCGUAGGUGAUGGACAACAGGUUGAUAUUCCUGUACUACCGAUAACCGUUUGAGAGAAGGGAUGACACAGUAGGAUAAGCUAAGCACACUGUUGGUUAUGUGUGCCCAAGCAUUGAGGCAGUCAAAGUAGGCAAAUCCGCUUUGAUAAUGCUGGGAUGUGAUGGGGAGCGAAAUUUAGUAGCGAAGUAGCUGAUUUCACACUGUCAAGAAAAGUCUCUAUCGAGGUUAAAGGUACCCGUACCGCAAACCGACACAGGUGGGUGAGGAGAGUAUCCUAAGGCCAGCGAGAGAACUGUUGUUAAGGAACUCGGCAAAAUGACCCCGUAACUUAGGGAUAAGGGGUGCCACCAUCAGGUGGCCGCAGAGAAUAGGCCCAAGCGACUGUUUACCAAAAACAUAGGUUUCUGCUAAGUCGCAAGACGAUGUAUAGGAGCUGACGCCUGCCCGGUGCUGGAAGGUUAAGGGGAUCUGUUAGAGCAAUCGAAGCAGUGAACUUAAGCCCCAGUAAACGGCGGCCGUAACUAUAACGGUCCUAAGGUAGCGAAAUUCCUUGUCGGGUAAGUUCCGACCCGCACGAAAGGCGUAACGAUUUGGGCACUGUCUCAACAACAGACUCGGUGAAAUUGUAAUUCCGGUGAAGAUGCCGGAUACCUGCGACAGGACGGAAAGACCCCAUGGAGCUUUACUGUAGCUUGACAUUGGGUCUUGGUACUACAUGUACAGGAUAGGUGGGAGGCUUUGAAACCAGGACGCCAGUUUUGGCGGAGCCAUCCUUGGGAUACCACCCUUGUAGUACUGGGACUCUAACCAUAGGCCAUGAAUCUGGUCUUGGGACACUGUCA